AUGAAGAGAUUGGGACACUCUGUUGAAAUGGAAUGGUAUCUGUCAAAAGGCUUGAUCAGCACCGCACACAGACCUCUCACCGUGAAGGUGUGGCUCAACUCGAUCUGGUUUUUGCCUCUUUUAAAUGGUAUCCCGUGUGAGAGGCAGCUGGUGGAGUCUGGGGGAGGCUUGGUGAAGCCUGGGAGUUCUCUGAGACUCUCCUGCGCAGCCUCUGGAUUCAGCUUUGAUGAUGCCUGCAUGCACUGGGUGCGCCAGCCUCCCGGGAAGGGGCUGGAAUGGGUUGCUACCAGUAGAAACCAAGCCGAUAGUUUCACCACAGAGUACAGCCUAUUUGUGGAGCACCGGUUCACCAUCUCCAGAGAGAAUUCCCAAAACAUCCUCUACCUUCAAAUGAACGGCCUGAGAGUUGAGGACACUGUAACUUACUACUGUAGAGGAGAGAGACAGUGA